rnacentral:rRNA from 1 species
CAGCCCAGAGCCUGAAUCAGUGUGUGUGUUAGUGGAAGCGUCUGGAAAGGCGUGCGAUACAGGGUGACAGCCCCGUACACAAAAAUGCACAUAUUGUGAGCUUGAUGAGUAGGGCGGGACACGUGGUAUCCUGUCUGAAUAUGGGGGGACCAUCCUCCAAGGCUAAAUACUCCUGACUGACCGAUAGUGAACCAGUACCGUGAGGGAAAGGCGAAAAGAACCCCGGCGAGGGGAGUGAAAAAGAACCUGAAACCGUGUACGUACAAGCAGUGGGAGCACGCUUAGGCGUGUGACUGCGUACCUUUUGUAUAAUGGGUCAGCGACUUAUAUUCUGUAGCAAGGUUAACCGAAUAGGGGAGCCGAAGGGAAACCGAGUCUUAACUGGGCGUUAAGUUGCAGGGUAUAGACCCGAAACCCGGUGAUCUAGCCAUGGGCAGGUUGAAGGUUGGGUAACACUAACUGGAGGACCGAACCGACUAAUGUUGAAAAAUUAGCGGAUGACUUGUGGCUGGGGGUGAAAGGCCAAUCAAACCGGGAGAUAGCUGGUUCUCCCCGAAAGCUAUUUAGGUAGCGCCUCGUGAAUUCAUCUCCGGGGGUAGAGCACUGUUUCGGCAAGGGGGUCAUCCCGACUUACCAACCCGAUGCAAACUGCGAAUACCGGAGAAUGUUAUCACGGGAGACACACGGCGGGUGCUAACGUCCGUCGUGAAGAGGGAAACAACCCAGACCGCCAGCUAAGGUCCCAAAGUCAUGGUUAAGUGGGAAACGAUGUGGGAAGGCCCAGACAGCCAGGAUGUUGGCUUAGAAGCAGCCAUCAUUUAAAGAAAGCGUAAUAGCUCACUGGUCGAGUCGGCCUGCGCGGAAGAUGUAACGGGGCUAAACCAUGCACCGAAGCUGCGGCAGCGACGCUUAUGCGUUGUUGGGUAGGGGAGCGUUCUGUAAGCCUGCGAAGGUGUGCUGUGAGGCAUGCUGGAGGUAUCAGAAGUGCGAAUGCUGACAUAAGUAACGAUAAAGCGGGUGAAAAGCCCGCUCGCCGGAAGACCAAGGGUUCCUGUCCAACGUUAAUCGGGGCAGGGUGAGUCGACCCCUAAGGCGAGGCCGAAAGGCGUAGUCGAUGGGAAACAGGUUAAUAUUCCUGUACUUGGUGUUACUGCGAAGGGGGGACGGAGAAGGCUAUGUUGGCCGGGCGACGGUUGUCCCGGUUUAAGCGUGUAGGCUGGUUUUCCAGGCAAAUCCGGAAAAUCAAGGCUGAGGCGUGAUGACGAGGCACUACGGUGCUGAAGCAACAAAUGCCCUGCUUCCAGGAAAAGCCUCUAAGCAUCAGGUAACAUCAAAUCGUACCCCAAACCGACACAGGUGGUCAGGUAGAGAAUACCAAGGCGCUUGAGAGAACUCGGGUGAAGGAACUAGGCAAAAUGGUGCCGUAACUUCGGGAGAAGGCACGCUGAUAUGUAGGUGAAGUCCCUUGCGGAUGGAGCU